rnacentral:lncRNA from 1 species
GCCCUCUCUUAGAUUCCCUUGAGGGAAACUCAGGCUAUGGCCGUGGUGAUUACUUUCUUGUUGGUCAUGACUUCUCAACCUACAUGGAUGCACAGGCAAGAGUAGAUGAAGCUUACAAGUAAGUAACUGAUUCUAUUUCCCCUCCCUUAGCUGGUUGUUUAGACUCGAUGAUGCUGCUAAUGCUACUUAUCUGAUGCUGCAAUAUGCAAGAUUAUUAUUAAUUAUUUGAAACUUGGAUAUUUUAGUUCAACAGAUUAAUCAAUUCAAGAAAGGAUCAAAAGUUGUUCCUCAAUCAUGGAAAUUUUGUCUAGAUAAUUAGGUUUCCUCUGAUGGUCCUACUGCUAGAUUGGUUUGCUACUUAUCAAAUUUUUUCAUGGGUUAAAAUAGCUUGAGCAAGUUCUGGUAGGGAGGGAGAGAUUUGUUCCUUGAUAGCCGGUUAGGCACUAUUUCUUUCUCAUAGAAGAUAACCUGUGUAUUCUUAUUAUAUAAUUUGAUACACUCAGCUUCAACUAGAUUUUUGGUGAGGCAUCGUGUCCAAUAUAUAUUGAAUAAUUGACUAAAGCCUCUAUCCUUUGAGUCUUUGUAAACUUCAACUUCCAAUAGCUUCAAGAUUUAUCGAAAGCGUGCCUUGAACAAUCAAAAUCGAGUUAAAAUUUUUUUUGGGCUGCUUAUUGAUUAAAAAAUCAAUCUUAAACCAUCCAAGUAAAAAACAAGAUUUGUCUGACAACAUACAUAUUCUGCAGGGACCGAAAGUUGUGGCUGAAGAUGUCGAUAUUGAGCACAGCUGGGAGUGGAAAAUUCAGCAGUGACCGAACAAUUGCCCAGUAUGCCAAAGAAAUAUGGAAUAUACAGGAGUGCCGUGUACCAUAAGUUCAACAUUCUAGGUCCACCUUGUCUUAAAUUAAAGGAAAUAAGAAUCUGUAUGACGCUAGGUAAUCUCAGUUAUUUCUCUACUUCAACCCUCUUCUUCUUGCUGGUAUCAGUAACACUAGCGGUUUACAGUAUACAACUUUUCAUGUAAUAUCG